UGGGAGGUAGCUCAGAGGCAGAGCAUUUGCCCAGCAUAUGCAAGGCUCUGGGUUCAAUCCCCAGCCCCGCAG
rnacentral:tRNA from 1 species